GGGGGAGGAGGAGGAGGAUGUGGGGGGGAGGGGGAGGAGGAGGACUAGAGUGAAUGGCAAUUUGAACAAAAGCAAAAGCAGAAGUAAAACUUCAAAAUCCCAAAAACAUUUGACCUUUACAUAGUAACAUAAAAUAUUACUACAUAUUAAAUAUUGUAGUUAUAUAAAAUACUGCUAUAAUAUCAAAUAUGACUAUAAUAUGAAAUAUUACUAUAUUAUAAAAUAUUAUAGUAAGAUAAAAUAUGACUAUUAUAAAAUAUUAUAGUAUUAUAUAUAUGACUGUAUUAUUAAAUAUGAUCUAUUGUCUGGUCCAAAGAGAUGUUCAGCAGUCUGUUGGCCACAUCGGGCUGGUCCUGGUCCUCAUCCUGGUCCAGGUCCUGGACUUGUCCCUGGUCUGGUCUGGUCCUGGUCUGUUUCUGGUCCUGGUCUGGUCCUGGUCUGUUUCUGGUCCUGGUCCUGGUCUGUUUCUGGUCCUGGUCCUGGUCUGUUUCUGUUUCUGGUCCUGGUCCUGGUCUGUUUCUGGUUCUGUUUCUGUUUCUGGUUCUGGUCUGUUUCUGGUUCUGGUCUGUUUCUGUUUCUGGUCCUGGUCCUGGUCUGUUUCUGGUUCUGUUUCUGGUCCUGGUCUGUUUCUGGUUCUGGUCUGUUUCUGGUCUGGUCCUGGUCUGUUUCUGUUUCUGGUCCUGGUCCUGGUCUGUUUCUGGUCUGUUUCUGGUCCUGGUCUGUUUCUGGUCCUGGUCCUGGUCUGUUUCUGGUCCUGGUCUGUUUCUGGUCCUGGUCCUGUUCUGUUUCUGGUCCUGGUCCUGGUCUGUUUCUGGUCUGUUUCUGGUCUGUUUCUGGUCUGUUUCUGGUCCUGGUCCUGGUCCUGGUCCUGGUCUGUUUCUGGUCUGUUUCUGGUCAGUUUCUGGUCUGUUUCUGGUCUGUUUCUGGUACUGUUUCUGGUCUGGUUCUGUUUCUGGUCCUGGUCCUGGUCCUGGUCUGUUUCUGGUACUGUUUCUGGUCCUGGUUUAGGUUUCUGGUGGUCCUUCUCCCAGAACCCCUUGAGCCUGAUCCCAUCUUCCUCUACAUGGCGGGAAAGGAGGAGCAGGAGAAGAGGUGCAGAACCCAGCAGGCUGAGAGGCUGAGCACCCAGACAGCAGGAGGUAGGUCUUGCUGGAGAUGCAGGCGCUGGUCUGGCUGCGGGCAGCCUCUGAUUGGCUCUCGGCCGCCUCGUUGAGGCUGAGGCACGAGGCGGUGAUGUGGGCGGCCUCGGUCACGUUCUGCUGCAGGGCCUCCAUCUCCUCUGGACCAAUCACAGCACAGCACCGUGUUACCUCGACUAAUCACAGCAGAGUACAGCCUCAGCAAGUCACAGCAGACAGGGACUAAAGAAGACCGCUGAACCCCUAACGUCCACCAGGGGGCGACGGGGACUAAAGGAGACCGCUGAACCCCUGACGUCCACCAGGGGGCGACGGGGACUAAAGGAGACCGCUGAACCCCUAACGUCCACCAGGGGGCGACGGGGACUAAAGAUGACCGCUGAACCCCUGACGUCCACCAGGGGGCGACGGGGACUAAAGGAGACAGCUGAACCCCUAACGUCCACCAGGGGGCGACGGGGACUAAAGAGGUUACCAUGGUUCCACCAGGGAACAUGUCUAAGAAUACCCUGGCGGGACGUCCCGGAGUGAGCAGAGUUUUCCUACCGAGCUGCCGGCCGGCGCGGGCCGAGAGGUUCCUGUAGAGCAGCUCCUGCUGCUCCAGCUGCUGCUGCAGAGACGACAUGUUUCCAUGAAGCAGCGCCUGCAGGAGCACAGGGAGGGUUUACAUCUAGUACUAACAUAGUACUACAGGUACUGUGGUAGUACUGUUGUACUAUGGUAGUACUCUCGUAGUACUGUAGGACUUUGGUAGUACUCUAGUACUG
ensembl:lncRNA